rnacentral:rRNA from 1 species
UACAGAGGGUGCAAGCGUUGUUCGGAAUUAUUGGGCGUAAAGCGCGUGUAGGCGGCUUUGCAAGUCGGGUGUGAAAGCCCUCGGCUCAACCGAGGAAGUGCGCCCGAAACUGCAGAGCUUGAGUACCGGAGAGGAUGGCGGAAUUCCCCAAGUAGAGGUGAAAUUCGUAGAUAUGGGGAGGAACACCGGUGGCGAAGGCGGCCAUCUGGACGGAUACUGACGCUGAGACGCGAAAGCCAGGGGAGCAAACGGG